GGGGCCACACUUGACCUUGGCCGGGCGCUGGUGGGGCUGCCACCACAGCGGGGGAGGGGAUGGCGGCCGCGGCCCACGGCACGGCCGGAGGAGCCGUUCCCGUGGGGCGACGGGAACCACUCCCUGUUCCACAACCCGCGCACCAACCCGCUGCCCCACGGGAUACGAGAUUUGAGGCGAAAAACGCCGGAAUCGGGCAAAAAGGAGCCCGAGGAGGAAGCCGCGACACGGGGGACGCGAUUCGGGGCGAAAAACGCCAGAAUCGGGCAAAAAAAAAACGGGUGAAAAUAAACCCCAAAUCGGUCAAAAUGAA